rnacentral:rRNA from 1 species
UUGCGGUUAAAAAGCUCGUAGUUGGAUCUCGGCAAGCAGGGGCCGGUUCGCUCCAUAGCGUUACUGGCCCAUUUGCUUGUGUGAUUGGCGGAGGUUUCGGGGUGCUCUUUACUGAGUGUCCCGGGGCGCCGUCAGGUUUACUUUGAAAAAAUUAGAGUGCUCAAAGCAAGCUUUUCACGCUUGAAUAUUCGUGCAUGGAAUAAUGGAAUAGGAACUCGUUUCUAUUUUGUUGGUUUUCGGAAAUCGAGUUAAUGAUUAAUAGGGACAAUUGGGGGCAUUAGUAUUCAGGCGACAGAGGUGAAAUUCUUGGACCGUCUGAAGACUAACUACUGCGAAAGCAUUUGCCAAGAGUGUUUUCAUUAAUCAAGAACGAAAGUUAGAGGUUCGAAGGCGAUCAGAUACCGCCCUAGUUCUAACCAUAAACGAUGCCAGCUAGCGAUCCGCCGAGUUUUCUUUGUAGGCUCCGCGGGAAGCUUUCGGGAAACCAAAGCUUUUGGGUUCCGGGGGAAGUAUGGUUGCAAAGCUGAAACUUAAAGGAAUUGACGGAAGGGCACCACCAGGAGUGGAGCCUGCGGCUUAAUUUGACUCAACACGGGAAAUCUCACCAGGCCCGGACACUGGAAGGAUUGACAGAUUGAGAGCUC